rnacentral:rRNA from 1 species
AGAUGAGGCAGUAAGAGCCACUUGAGUCUACGAUUUCCGAAUGGGGAAACCCAACUGCAUAAGCAGUUAUCUCAAUGUGAAUUCAUAGCAUUGUGAGGCGAACCGGGGGAACUGAAACAUCUAAGUACCCCGAGGAAGAGAAAUCAACCGAGAUUCCGGCAGUAGCGGCGAGCGAAACCGGAUUAGCCCUUAAGCUAAUCUUGCGUUAGGUGAACAUGCUGGAAAGCAUGGCAAUAAAGGGUGAUAGCCCCGUAACCAACAGCGCUUUAUCAGUGAAAUCGAGUAGGACGGGACACGUGUUAUCCUGUCUGA